GCCUGGUUGGCUCAGUUGGUUGAGCAUCCAACUUCGGGUCAGGUCACCCUUUGUGAGUUCGAGCCCCGCAUCGGGCU
rnacentral:tRNA from 1 species